GUUGCCCAGGAAGGUGGUGGAGUCCCUGUCUGUGGAGGAGUCCAAGAGCCAUGAAGAUGUGGCACUGAGGUUGCAGCUCACACUGCAGUGCUGCAGGGAGAACCCAGCAAAGGCAGUGUGGCUUCUUCCAGGAACCUGGAGCUUUUGCAGUUGUCUUUAGAGAAGGAUGAUAAUCUUGCAGUAUCCAAAACUAACCUGUACCUUGACCUGCCUGCUUGGACUGCAAGGAGCCCUUGGCUGGAUACAGCUGUGUCUGCACUGGAGUGCUGCGUGUGAGUGCUCCAGAGCCCCGGAGGUUGCUUUUAUGAAUUAGAUUACAAAUAAAACACAUCUGAUACCUGAGAUCUUAGAAAACCAUUGCUUGUGUCAGGCAAGAAUGUGAACUAUGCCACCUCUAUGAGCUCUUGAACAUCUUAAGCUUCAUUUUGGAGUCCCGACAUUUAAACUGCAUAGAACAAAGCUUGAGAAGUUUGGUAUCUUUAUUUCCUCCUUCAGCAUGGUCUUAAAUUCAGGACUUGAAAUACUACUGUGUGGUGGAGUUGGAUGUCAGUAACUGGAAAAGCAUGAUCAGUUGCUCUUGUUCUGUCUCAGUGGGACUAUUCAGAUCCAGGUGUAAUUCCAGGCACGUAUGAAGCAUUAAGGAAAUGUGGAUGACUGCAUGGUGUUUCAGAAUUGCUGAAUGCCUUUUACCUGCAGUGAAGAUGCACCAGCUGUUCAUUCUCUGCAACACAUGAUGAGGUGCUAACUGCAAUCAGUCUGGCAUAAUGUGGAUGUCUACACAUGUCUGUUCUGAGCACGUAGUUUGGAGAACAAAGUGUGAUAUCUGACUCCAUGCUGGUCGCCAGCCUCAAGGCCUGGCACUCAGGUUUACAGAGGACUUUGGAUGCAUCAUACUUUCAUGAGAGCAGUUUGGCCUCUGUCCAAAUGGAUCUUCAUCCAGUCUUCCAAGAUGCUUUGCUAGACGAGGACAACGUGCAAACCAGGACUUUUCAAUAGGAGAAAAACAAACCUGAGGAAGUCUGUUGAAGCCAACUGCAUGCAGUCUGAAUUUGAAGAAACUCUGAAGCCUUACACAGAUGUAGUCUGAGGCUUAUACGUCCAAGCCAGGAAGUCUUGUUAUUUGAUUGACUGAGGAAAAUCUCCCCCUUUUCUCUAAUCUGCUUUUACUGUAAUCUUCUGUCUCUGUGAAAAGAGAACUCAGCUGUCUGUACCUAAAUUUGAUGAUUUAUAUGCUAGAAUUCAGGGAAUUUCUGCUCUGAAUCUUUUUUGGUAGAGAUGUCCAAAUGUAGCCCAGCAUUAGUCAUAUCAGACCAAGUGAAAAACAGUUGCUUCCAAUUCUUUUCUCUUUUUCGUGGUUGACAGCAGCUCCUCCUUACUGAGGAUCUCUGUUUGAGAGCUCUACAUCUGGUGGGUAGGCACCCAGCCCUCCCCAGUUGAUGUAAAGGGAGUCUGAACAUUUAACUUGGUUAGGAACCACUUGCUUUUAUUUUCAGUGGUUUUUUUUAUGCCUUCAAGGUGAAGCUGAAUAAGUCCCUGGGCAACCUGAUUAAACUGUGGUGUCACUGUUCAUUGCAGGAGAGUUGGACUAGAUGGCCCUCAGAGGUCCCCUCCAGCUCUAAGGAUUCUAUGAUAAAGUAUUGUUAUAGAUCUAACCUCCCUACUCUGCACCCCUCCCCAAAUUAAUCCUUCCAGACAGCAUUCUUACCCUCUCUUCAUGAUCCUCGGAUAUGAAGAUAAAUCCCAACAAAAUACUGGCUGUAACCUCAUCUAAAAUCAUAAUCCGUGUGGUCAAUCAAAAAAUGGAGUUAAUGAGACUUGAUCUGUGCAAGUGACUUCGAGGUAAGGAUCUAUUGGCUCCUGAAGGUGUCUUAAAGUGUAAAGGUAGGAAGAGAACCAAUUAAUGAAUUGAAACAGUAAAAUUUCAAG
ensembl:lncRNA